rnacentral:rRNA from 1 species
UAGGAGCCCCGGGGGGCCGCAGAGAAAUGGCCCAGGCGACUGUUUAGCAAAAACACAGCACUAUGCAAACCUCUAAGGGGAAGUAUAUGGUGUGACGCCUGCCCAAUGCCAAAAGGUUAAAGGGAUAUGUCAGCUGCAAAGCGAAGCAUUGAACCUAAGCCCUGGUGAAUGGCCGCCGUAACUAUAACGGUGCUAAGGUAGCGAAAUUCCUUGUCGGGUAAGUUCCGACCUGCACGAAUGGUGUAACGAUCUGGGCACUGUCUCAACGAAAGACUCGGUGAAAUUGUAGUAGCAGUGAAGAUGCUGUUUACCCGCGAAAGGACGAAAAGACCCCGUGAACCUUUACUGUACUUUGGUAUUGAUUUUUGGUUUGUUAUGUGUAGGAUAGCCAGGAGACUAGGAACACUCUUCUUCAGGAGAGUGGGAGUCAACGUUGAAAUACUGGUCUUAACAAGCUGGGAAUCUAACAUUAUUCCAUGAAUCUGGAAGAUGGACAUUGCCAGACGGGCAGUUUUACUGGGGCGGUAUCCUCCUAAAAAGUAACGGAGGAGCCCAAAGCUUAUUUCAUCGUGGUUGGCAAUCACGAGUAGAGCGUAAAGGUAUAAGAUAGGUUGACUGCAAGACCAACAAGUCGAGCAGAGACGAAAGUCGGGCUUAGUGAUCCGGCGGUGGAAAGUGGAAUCGCCGUCGCUUAACGGAUAAAAGGUACUCCGGGGAUAACAGGCUGAUCGCCACCAAGAGUUCAUAUCGACGUGGCGGUUUGGCACCUCGAUGUCGGCUCAUCGCAUCCUGGGGCUGGAGAAGGUCCCAAGGGUUUGGCUGUUCGCCAAUUAAAGCGGUACGCGAGCUGGGUUCAAAACGUCGUGAGACAGUUUGGUCUCUAUCCUUCGUGGGCGCAGGAUACUUGAGAGGAGCUGUUCCUAGUACGAGAGGACCGGAAUGGACGAACCAAUGGUGUGUCGGUUGUUUUGCCAAGAGCAUAGCCGAGUAGCUACGUUCGGAAAGGAUAAGCAUUGAAAGCAUCUAAAUGCCAAGCCUCCCUCAAGAUAAGGUAUCCCAAUGAGACU